AAAAGUGAAGACACUUCCAGAAAGUUGGUGCAGUUUUUCAGAAGUGAUAAUUCAGAUAAUUUUUUGGGGAGUGAGGAUUUUUUUUUUUUAAGUGAUGACAUGUUUGGAAAAGGUUAAGGCUAGAUUUAAGUUUUGAAAGGAGUCAAAAGGACCUGUCUAGUUGAAGGCGAAAACGGUUUUGCAAUAUGAUAUGAGAUCAAUACAAUACAGGACAGAAACUGCUGUGCAACUAGUUAUAGUGCAAUAUGCUAUGGAAAUACAAUGUCAGCACUUUUUGUGCAAAUUAAAUUUGCAUUUGUUUCUUUCAAAUGUGUUAGAACAACGUUCUUGCAAAAAAAAGGUUUGAUAAAUAAAUACAGAUCUUAAAAGCAUACAGCAAAGAUGGCAAAACGUGCAAGAGAAGCCCGCAGGUCUGCCAAUGAAAGAUUGGUGGACUUCAUCACGAAGCUGAAGGGGUCGGACAAACGGCUACUGGUAUGACACCAGUAAUAAUAAUGCUUAUACAUAAAAACAUUUCUAAUAGCAAAAAAGAUGAUCAAAGCCUGAUCUUCUGCAGUGCAUUUAUUUGACAUGGUCUUUGUAAUCACAGGUGAAGGCAGCUCCAAGUGGCUGGUGAAUUUCAGGCCUGCGAAACCAGACAGGGUCUUCACCUACCUGGAAGAAGACGACGACCAAAUUGCUGAAGUUUUUAAGCACAUCAAGUUGGUCCUCCAAAGGAGCCACAAAAUGUGCACCUUAUGUGCCAACGACAGAGUUGCAGAGAGUCAGCUUCGUGUUGGAUGUGCUGAUGCCUGAGGCCAUUGUCCACGCUCUUGUGGCAGUGGACAACCUCUCUCUAGCUGAGGCAAAGAGAAGAUUUAACGCGGGACCAUUGUAUGAUGAAAGUGAAGUGCAAGAAUUUGAUAUUAUCAAGAUACAGAAGAGGCAGUAGAUCGAGGCCGAGCAUUAAUAUUUUUAUUUUAUUUUAAUUUUAUUUAUUUUGUUUUUGUUUUGAUGUUUUUGUUUAUUAUUAUUAU